rnacentral:rRNA from 1 species
GCUCAGGAUGAACGCUGGCGGCGUGCCUAAUACAUGCAAGUCGAGCGAACGGACGAGAAGCUUGCUUCUCUGAUGUUAGCGGCGGACGGGUGAGUAACACGUGGAUAACCUACCUAUAAGACUGGGAUAACUUCGGGAAACCGGAGCUAAUACCGGAUAAUAUUUUGAACCGCAUGGUUCAAAAGUGAAAGACGGUCUUGCUGUCACUUAUAGAUGGAUCCGCGCUGCAUUAGCUAGUUGGUAAGGUAACGGCUUACCAAGGCAACGAUGCAUAGCCGACCUGAGAGGGUGAUCGGCCACACUGGAACUGAGACACGGUCCAGACUCCUACGGGAGGCAGCAGUAGGGAAUCUUCCGCAAUGGGCGAAAGCCUGACGGAGCAACGCCGCGUGAGUGAUGAAGGUCUUCGGAUCGUAAAACUCUGUUAUUAGGGAAGAACAUAUGUGUAAAGUAACUGUGCACAUCU